rnacentral:rRNA from 1 species
UACGAAGGGUGCAAGCGUUACUCGGAAUUACUGGGCGUAAAGCGUGCGUAGGUGGUUGUUUAAGUCUGUCGUGAAAGCCCUGGGCUCAAUCUGGGAAUUGCGAUGGAUACUGGGCGACUAGAGUGUGGUAGAGGACAGUGGAAUUUCCGGUGUAGCAGUGAAAUGCGUAGAGAUCCGGAAGAACACCGGUGGCGAAGGCGGCCUGCUGGGCUAUGGCUGACACUGAGGCGCGACAGCGUGGGGAGCAAACAGG